GAUGAACGCUGGCGGCGUGCCUAAUACAUGCAAGUCGAGCGAACGGACGAGAAGCUUGCUUCUCUGAUGUUAGCGGCGGACGGGUGAGUAACACGUGGAUAACCCACCUAUAAGACUGGGAUAACUUCGGGAAACCGGAGCUAAUACCGGAUAAUAUUUUGAACCGCAUGGUUCAAAAGUGAAAGACGGUCUUGCUGUCACUUAUAGAUGGCUAUGCGCUGCAUUAGCUAGUUGGUAAGGUAACGGCUUACCAAGGCAACGAUGCAUAGCCGACCUGAGAGGCGGAUCGGCCACACUAGAACUGAAACACGGUCCAGACUCCUACGGGAGGCAGCAGUAGGGAAUCUUCCGCAAUGGUCGAAAGCCUGACGGAGCAACGCCGCGUGAGAUAUGAAGGUCUUCGGAGCGUAAAACUCUGUUAUUAGGUAAGAACAUAUGUGUAAAUAACUGUGCACAUCUUGACGGUACCUAAUCAGAAAGCCACGGCUAACUACGUG
rnacentral:rRNA from 1 species